CCACACUCUAAUCGUAUUAUGCAAUGGAGCCUUCCACUUGGCCGGCACCAUGUUUUCUGCUCCCUACUGCACAAGUGGCUGGCAAAGAGAAGGGAAGAUGAAGCCACCAUUUUGAUCAUGCCUAGUCUCAGUUGCUGGCCUGGAGCAUGCUCGGCUGAGGACCGCUGCUCUGAUGCGUGGAGAAGAAACAUGAAGUCCGCAGCUGCCCACAUUCAGGGAAGAUCUUUGAAAGCUCUUCAGACAGUGCCACCCAUCUUCAUGAAGCUGAUCCCCGGAUCUCACUCGCUUGUUUCUCCUCCUUCACCUGCUGAUGAUCAAUGUAGACUUUAGCCCUCAGAAGCUCUCAAAAGACCCAGAUCUUGUGAACUGUUUUCACAUUUCCCCAUGGAUGCCUAGCAAGGGACUGGGACUGCCUGAUCCGCUUUGGUCAAGAGCACGUGGGUGGCCUGUGUGCAGGCUUAUCAUCAAUAAUUGCAGGACUUGGUGGAGUAUGGUUGAACAGGUGCUCAGACUGCAUGCGUGUCUAGCGAGGCCAUCCUGAAGCUGCAUGGGAGUUGUAAAAAAGUUACCAACAAGUUUUUAGUUAUUUGAAUAGGUUUUUGAAUAGAUUUGGAAUGUGGGAAGCAGUUGCAGAAAUAAACGUCUUAAUGACUAAA
rnacentral:lncRNA from 1 species